rnacentral:tRNA from 1 species
AUCGACGACUCAGCUGCACCAUAAGCACCCACACGAAUUGCUUGAUUCAUUGAAGAAGACGAUUAGAAGCAGCGCCCGAGUUCGGGUCUGUAGCUCAGUUGGUUAGAGCGCACCCCUGAUAAGGGUGAGGUCGGCAGUUCGAAUCUGCCCAGACCCACCAGUUUACUGGUGAGAUAGCUGGUCAGAGUAGACGCCUCCACGGUAUGUAGAAAUACGGGGCCAUAGCUCAGCUGGGAGAGCGCCUGCCUUGCACGCAGGAGGUCAGCGGUUCGAUCCCGCUUGGCUCCACCACUUACUGCUUCUGUUUGAAAGCUUAGAAAUGAGCAUUCCACCCUGCAAAACAAAGGGUGCGUGAAUGUUGAUUUCUAGUCUUUGAUUAGAUCGUUCUUUAAAAAUUUGGGUAUGUGAUAGAAAGAAAUAUAGACCGGGCACCUCUUUCACUGGUGUGUGUCCGGGCUAAGGUAAAGUUUGUGAAAUGCAAACUUUCGGC